rnacentral:misc_RNA from 1 species
AAGUCGUAACAAGGUCUCCGUUGGUGAACCAGCGGAGGGAUCAUUACCGAGUUUACAACUCCCAAACCCAAUGUGAACGUUACCAAACUGUUGCCUCGGCGGGAUCUCUGCCCCGGGUGCGUCGCAGCCCCGGACCAAGGCGCCCGCCGGAGGACCAACCAAAACUCUUUUGUAUACCCCCUCGCGGGUUUUUAUAUCUGAGCCAUCUCGGCGCCUCUCGUAGGCGUUUCGAAAAUGAAUCAAAACUUUCAACAACGGAUCUCUUGGUUCUG